CAGUAGCCACGGUAAUACGAAGGGUGCAAGCGUUAAUCGGAAUUACUGGGCGUAAAGCGUGCGUAGGCGGUGAGUUAAGUCUGCUGUGAAAUCCCCGGGCUCAACCUGGGAAUGGCAGUGGAUACUGGCUCGCUAGAGUGUGUCAGAGGAUGGUGGAAUUCCCGGUGUAGCGGUGAAAUGCGUAGAGAUCGGGAGGAACAUCAGUGGCGAAGGCGGCCAUCUGGGACAACACUGACGCUGAGGCACGAAAGCGUAGGGAGCAAACAGGAUUAGAUACCCGCGUAGUCCCUGUCUCUUAUAC
rnacentral:rRNA from 1 species